GGAAGUAAAAAUCGUAACAAGGUCUCCGUUGGUGAACCAGCGGAGGGAUCAUUACCGAGUUUACAGCUCCCAAACCCCAUGUGAACCUUACCAAACGUUGCUUCGGCGGGAUGCCCCGGGCGCGGGCCGCAAGGCCUCAGCCCCGGAACCAGGCGCCCGCCGGAGGCCCAAACCAAACUCUUGUUUUUGUAGAAUCUUCUGAGUGGCCUUUUAGGCAAAAAAUGAAUCAAAACUUUCAACAACGGAUCUCUUGGUUCUG
rnacentral:misc_RNA from 1 species